AUGGUCUCCCAGAAACAGUGGGCACACCACACACAGAGAGUGGAGUGUAUAGACACCCUUAAAACCACUAGAUUGCGCCCUCUCUGGGGUGUACCCUUUUGGCCUAGGUAUAUAGAUGGAUGGAUUGUAACAAACUAAUGAAAAAAAGUAAAAAAGAUAAGAAAAAACAUGGAAGGGCAAUUUAACCUAAACCUAUCGGAAUUAUUAAACGCUUCAUAUCAGUCAGUAUCUAUGAUGCAUUUGUGUGUUCCAUUGUGUGAAGCAUAUAUGUAUGUAUGCAUAUAUGUCAAAACUGAUUUACAACUGUCUCAACUUUAUUCCUAAAAAUGCUCCAGAAUGCCAGUUUUCCGUAUUUGGUGUGCUGAUCGCAUCAUAAGGAAAUCGGUUGUGUCAGUAGCAGAAAUUGAAGAACUAAAGAAAAAAAGCAACACAAAAACUCGGUUUGGAGUUGGUAGGACCUACGAAGUUAGUUCUAGCGAAAUGUGGUACAGAAGUGGACGACGAUGAGGUGUUGGAAGAAAUUGCUGAUGAAGUCUUACUAUUGUUGGCUGAUGGAGAAACUUAUACACCAUCUGUAGCUCAGCAAAUACCUGACUCUACUCGAAGUUUGGUAACAUGUACUACAGGCGAUGUACUUCAACCCAGCAGGAGUGCAAGUGACAACGAAAAGGCAAGCACAAGUUCAAGUGAGACAGAGGCAUAUGCCAGUCACAAAUCAUGUAACACAUUAUCAUUGCCUCUGCCAGAACUCUCACGGGCAACCCGAGAUGACUUACAACAGGGAGAUAAAUCAAGACGGGUCUUGUUGCAGCUGAUAGAAGAAUCCAAGAACUACUACAUGAAGUAUUGCC